GAUGAAGAACGUAGCGAAAUGCGAUAAGUAAUGUGAAUUGCAGAAUUCAGUGAAUCAUCGAAUCUUUGAACGCACAUUGCGCCCCUUGGUAUUCCGAGGGGCAUGCCUGUUCGAGCGUCAUUAUAACCCCUCAAGCUCAGCUUGGUGUUGUGGCCUGCUGCACUGGCAGCCCUUAAAAUCAGUGGCGGCGCCAUCUGGCUCUAAGCGUAGUAAUUCUUCUCGCUAUGGAGUCCUGGUGGAUGCUUGCCAUCAACCCCCAAUUUUUCUAUGGUUGACCUCGGAUCAGGUAGGGAUACCCGCUGAACUUAAGCAUAUCAAUAAGCGGAGGA
rnacentral:misc_RNA from 1 species